AGAGUUUGAUCCUGGCUCAGGAUGAACGCUAGCGGCAGGCUUAAUACAUGCAAGUCGUGGGGCAGCACAGGUAGCAAUACUGGGUGGCGACCGGCAAACGGGUGCGGAACACGUACGCAACCUUCCUUUAACUGGAGAAUAGCCCGGGGAAACCCGGAUUAAUACUCCGUAACAUUAUGAAGUGGCAUCACUUUAUAAUUAUAGCUCCGGCGGUUGAAGAUGGGCGUGCGUCUGAUUAGGUAGUUGGCGGGGUAACGGCCCACCAAGCCUACGAUCAGUAACUGGUGUGAGAGCACGACCAGUCACACGGGCACUGAGACACGGGCCCGACUCCUACGGGAGGCAGCAGUAAGGAAUAUUGGUCAAUGGACGCAAGUCUGAACCAGCCAUGCCGCGUGGAGGAUGAAGGUCCUCUGGAUUGUAAACUUCUUUUAUUUGGGAAGAAACCCCCGAUUUCUAUUGGGGUAGACGUACCAGAUGAAUAAG
rnacentral:rRNA from 1 species